AUGGCGGACGUGCUUAGCGUCCUGCGACAGUACAACAUCCAGAAGAAGGAGAUUGUGGUGAAGGGAGACGAAGUGAUCUUCGGGGAGUUCUCCUGACCCAAGAAUGUGAAGACCAACUAUGUAGUUUGGGGGACUGGAAAGGAAGGCCAACCUACACAUUGGAUUCCAUUUUAUUUCUGCUUAAUAAUGUGCACCUUUCUCAUCCUGUUUAUGUCCGACGUGCAGCUACUGAAAAUAUUCCUGUGGUUAGAAGACCUGAUCGAAAAGAUCUACUUGGAUAUCUCAAUGGUGAAGCGUCAACAUCGGCAAGUAUAGACAGAAGUGCUCCCUUAGAAAUAGGUCUUCAGCGAUCUACUCAAGUCAAACGAGCUGCAGAUGAAGUUUUAGAAGAAGCAAAGAAACCACGAAUUGAGGAUGAAGAGUGUGUGCGCCUUGAUAAAGAAAGAUUGGCUGCCCGUUUGGAGGGUCACAAAGAAGGGAUUGUACAGACUGAACAGAUUAGGUCUUUGUCUGAAGCUAUGUCAGUGGAAAAAAUUGCUGCAAUCAAAGCCAAAAUUAUGGCUAAGAAAAGAUCUACUAUCAAGACUGAUCUAGAUGAUGACAUAACUGCCCUUAAACAGAGGAGUUUUGUGGAUGCUGAGGUAGAUGUGACCCGAGAUAUUGUCAGCAGAGAGAGUAUGGAGGACACGAACAACUAUCUUACAAAGCACAGGAAAGAAUUUUUCCAAGAACAUUUUUGCAAUUCUUCAAUCUGUAAAAGCCAGAGAAGAAGGGCGUGCACCUGAACAGCGACCUGCCCCAAAUGCAGCACCUGUGGAUCCCACUUUGCGCACCAAACAGCCUAUGCCAGCUGCCUAUAACAGAUACGAUCAGGAAAGAUUCAAAGGAAAAGAAGAAACGGAAGGCUUCAAAAUUGACACUAUGGGAACCUACCAUGGUAUGACACUGAAAUCUGUAACGGAGGGUGCAUCUGCCCGGAAGACUCAGACUCCUGCAGCCCAGCCAGUACCAAGACCAGUUUCUCAAGCAAGACCUCCCCCAAAUCAGAAGAAAGGAUCUUGAACACCCAUUAUCAUAAUUCCUGCAGCUACCACCUCUUUAAUAACCAUGCUUAAUACAAAAGACCUUCUGCAGGACCUGAAAUUUGUCCCAUCAGAUGAAAAGAAGAAACAAGGUUGUCAACGAGAAAAUGAAACUCUAAUACAAAGAAGAAAAGACCAGAUGCAACCAGGGGGCACUGCAAUUAGUGUUACAGUACCUUAUAGAGUAGUAGACCAGCCCCUUAAACUUAUGCCUCAAGACUGGGACCGCGUUGUAGCUAUUUUUGUGCAGGGUCCUGCAUGGCAGUUCAAAGGUUGGCCGUGGCUUUUGCCGGAUGGAUCACCAGUUGAUCUAUUUGCUAAAAUUAAAGCCUUCCAUCUGAAGUAUGAUGAAGUUCGUCUGGAUCCAAAUGUUCAGAAAUGGGAUGUAACAGUAUUAGAACUCAGCUACCACAAACGUCAUUUGGAUAGACCAGUGUUCUUACGGUUUUGGGAAACAUUGGACAGGUACAUGGUAAAGCAUACAUCCCACUUGAGAUUCUGAAUUAUUUGGCUCCUCCAUUUCUGGAAAUUGAGACUCAAGCUUUAUGAAUUUAUCAAGAACUUAAAAAUGAAGAAGGUCACAGAUUGAUCUUUUAUAAGAUCUUAUUUGAU